rnacentral:rRNA from 1 species
GAUGAACGCUGGCGGCGUGCCUAAUACAUGCAAGUCGAGUGAACGGACGAGAAGCUUGCUUCUCUGAUGUUAGCGGCGGACGGGUGAGUAACACGUGGAUAACCUACCUAUAAGACUGGGAUAACUUCGGGAAACCGGAGCUAAUACCGGAUAAUAUUUUGAACCGCAUGGUUCAAAAGUGAAAGACGGUCUUGCUGUCACUUAUAGAUGGAUCCGCGCUGCAUUAGCUAGUUGGUAAGGUAACGGCUUACCAAGGCAACGAUGCAUAGCCGACCUGAGAGGGUGAUCGGCCACACUGGAACUGAGACACGGUCCAGACUCCUACGGGAGGCAGCAGUAGGGAAUCUUCCGCAAUGGGCGAAAGCCUGACGGAGCAACGCCGCGUGAGUGAUGAAGGUCUUCGGAUCGUAAAACUCUGUUAUUAGGGAAGAACAUAUGUGUAAGUAACUGUGCACAUCUUGACGGUACCUAGUCAGAAAGCCACGGCUAACUACGUG